CAGGUCCUACGGGAGGCAGCAGUGAGGAAUAUUGGUCAAUGGGCGAGAGCCUGAACCAGCCAAGUCGCGUGAAGGAUGACGGACCUACGGGUUGUAAACUUCUUUUGUCAGGGAGCAAUGGGGUCCACGCGUGGGCUUAGCGAGAGUAACUGAAGAAAAAGCAUCGGCUAACUCCGUGCCAGCAGCCGCGGUAAUACGGAGGAUGCGUGCGCUAUCCGGAUUUAUUGGGUUU
rnacentral:rRNA from 1 species